GGCCUGGCCUGGCCUGGCCCGGCCCGGCCCGCUCUCCCCCGCCGUCGAACCAUGGCUGAGGGCGGGCAGCCUGGGGCUGCUCAGCCGGGAGGCUGAGAUCAGAAUGUGCCUUACUACUUCAGUCCUGCAGCAGUAACUGUCCUGGUCCCUCAGCCCCCUUCAUAAUUUGUGGUCAGAUUCGCUACUGGAAAUGGUGAGAGAAUAGGGGGGGAAAGGGCCAGAAAAGGAGAGCUGAAAAUUGACCCAAUGUUAAAACUCGCUGUAACUUAAACUGAAAUUAAGUGUAAAAUGUAACUCUUGGUUUCCAAUAAAAUGGUAAAAACUGUGUCAAA